rnacentral:rRNA from 1 species
UCGAACGCGAAAGUCUCCUUCGGGGGAUAAGUAGAGUGGCGUCCGGGUGAGUAACACGUAGGUAAUCUACCUUCGGGUGGGGAAUAACCCAGGGAAACUUGGGCUAAUACCGCAUAAUGCAGCGGCACCACAUGGUGACAGUUGUUAAAGCGGGGGAUCUUCGGAUCUCGCGCCUGAAGAGGAGCCUGCGGCAGAUUAGCUAGUUGGUAAGGUAACGGCUUACCAAGGCGACGAUCUGUAGCCGGCCUGAGAGGGCGGUCGGCCACACUGACACUGACAUACGGGUCAGACUCCUACGGGAGGCAGCAGUCGGGAAUUUUGGGCAAUGGGCGAAAGCCUGACCCAGCAACGCCGCGUGAAGGAUGAAAUCCUUCGGGAUGUAAACUUCGCAAGAAUGGGAAGAAUUAGUAGGGGUUAAUACCCUCUAUGAUGACGGUACCAUUUGUAAGCUCCGGCUAACUCCGUGCCAGCAGCCGCGGUAAUACGGGGGGAGCAAGCGUUGUUCGGAUUUACUGGGCGUAAAGGGCGCGUAGGCGGUCAGCACAAGUCAGUUGUGAAAUCUCCGGGCUUAACUCGGAAAGGUCAACUGAUACUGUGCGACUAGAGUGCAGAAGGGGCAACUGGAAUUCUCGGUGUAGCGGUGAAAUGCGUAGAUAUCGAGAGGAACACUGCGGCGAAGGCNGGUUGCUGGGCUGACACUGACGCUGAUGCGCGAAAGCCAGGGGAGCGAACGGGAUUAGAUACCCCGGUAGUCCUGGCCUAAA